CACGCGCACAAAAAGAAAAUAAAUUAGUAGGACAAGAUCGAAACACAGCCUCCAAAAAUAUAAUGUAGCCUGUCUCGCGAUCGCAAGCCGAAAAAAGAUAUUCUGUUGUUGUUUCAAUGUAAACUGAACUUUAGUUCAGCUGAACUGAGGUUAGUUUAGGUUGGCACUACAAAUAUUUAGUUACUUUUGGUUUUUUUUAAUUUUUGACAUUUAACAUAACCUAAAAGGAGAGGUUUGUUUUGUUUUUGUUUUGAUUUGGCGGGCUGGGUUGCUUGCAAGUAAAAAAAAGUAAAAACAGUAAAAGUUUAUAAAAAGUGUAUUUUCUACUUGGUGUGGCUGGUACUACUAAUUAAGCUUGAUUUUACAUACCUAUAGAUACUUGGCCACAGGAAACAGUUACAAAAGUAUUGCAUACAGCUAUAGGAUGGGUGAUCGAACGGUCUCUAAUAUUGUGCGAGAAGUAUCUGAAGCAAUAUGGAAAUUGAUGCAACCGAAAUAUUUGCCGGAACCAUCGGAAGAGGACUGGAAAUCAGUUGAAGUUGAUUUUGAAAGAAAAUGGCAAUUCCCACAUUACAUUGGUGCCAUUGACGGUAGGCAUGUGGUGAUUAAAAAACCUGGAAAAAGUGGAUCCUCUUGUAUCAAUUAUAAACGUACGUUCUCCAUUGUACUAUUGGCUGUCGUCGACUCAAGUUAUAAAUUUAUCACUAUUGAUGUAGGAUCGCAAGGAAGAUUUAGCGAUGGAAACGUUUUCAGUACAAGCGUUUUGGCAAAGAAAAUUCGGAAUCAUACUUUACAUCUUCCAGCACCUUCUGUACUGCCUCCACUUGUGAACCCAAUACCAUAUGUGUUUGCAGGAGAUGAGCAUUCCCAUUGUCUGAGAAUUUGAUGAGACCUUAUCCUAAACGAAGCGUUAGGAUAAUUAUGAAAACAAAAUCUUUAAUUACAGACUAUCGCGAGCGCGCCAAACGGUUGAAUGCGCUUUCGGUAUACUUGCCUCGCGUUUUCGAGUUUUUCGAACUCCUUUUGAGAAUAAGGAAUUAUUCAGUAUCUCAAAGCGAAGACGACGGAAAAGAAGAUAUGCCGCAAAAUCAGCUACGCCCUUUACGAUCAACCAAUACUUGAAGUGUACAGAAAGCUUUUACGAUUCGACAGACUUUUACCAAUUAUUUCAACUCUGCGGGAACGGUACCUUGGCAAAGAGAAAGUGUUGCUAGAGGGAAGUACUAAGAUAUACAAUUUAUAAUAAAUAAAUAAACUUACCAGUUUUCAUAUCGACUUCUUUAGCG